rnacentral:rRNA from 1 species
UACGUAGGGCGCAAGCGUUAUCCGGAAUUAUUGGGCGUAAAGAGCUCGUAGGCGGUUUGUCGCGUCUGCCGUGAAAGUCCGGGGCUCAACUCCGGAUCUGCGGUGGGUACGGGCAGACUAGAGUGAUGUAGGGGAGACUGGAAUUCCUGGUGUAGCGGUGAAAUGCGCAGAUAUCAGGAGGAACACCAGCGGCGAAGGCGGCGCUCUGGGCCGGUACUGACACUGAGGAGCGAAAGCAUGGGGAGCGAACAGG